AGAUUGAACGCUGGCGGCAUGCCUUACACAUGCAAGUCGAACGGCAGCACGGGAGCAAUCCUGGUGGCGAGUGGCGAACGGGUGAGUAAUAUAUCGGAACGUGCCCAGUCGUGGGGGAUAACGCAGCGAAAGCUGUGCUAAUACCGCAUACGAUCUAUGGAUGAAAGCGGGGGAUCGCAAGACCUCGCGCGAUUGGAGCGGCCGAUAUCAGAUUAGCUAGUUGGUAGGGGUAAAAGCCUACCAAGGCGACGAUCUGUAGCUGGUCUGAGAGGACGACCAGCCACACUGGAACUGAGACACGGUCCAGACUCCGUACGGAGGCAGCAGUGGGUAAUUUGGACAAGUGGGCGCAAGCCUGACUCCAGCAAUGCCCGCGGUGCGAAGGAUGGAACGGCCGUUCGGGUUAGGUUAAACGUGUCUUUUGGUAACGGUAACGUAAACGUU
rnacentral:rRNA from 1 species